UCUUCCCUCUGUCUGUGUGCUUAACACAUGCAAGUCGAACGGAAAGGUCCAAGCUUGUUUGGGUACUCGAGUGGCGAACGGGCGCGUAUCACGUGGGUGAUUUGCACUUCACUUCGGGAUAAGCAUGGGCCACUGGGACUAAUACCGGUUAGGACGAUGGUUUGGAUGCCAUUGUGGAACGCUUUUACGGUGUGGGCUCAGAUCGCGGCCUAUCCGCUCCUUGGUGGGGUAAUGGCCUACAAAGGGGUCGACGGGAAGCCGGCCUGAGAGGGUGUACGGGCACAUUGGAACUGAGAUACGGCCCAGACACCCGCGAGGGGCAGCAGUGGGGGAUAGUGCACAAUGGGCACAAGCCUGGUGCAGCGACGGCGCGUGGGGGAUGACGGCCUUCGGGUUGUAAACGCCUUUCGCUAAGGACGAAGCGGUUUUGUGACGGUACCUGGUGAAGAAGCACCGGCUAACUACGUG
rnacentral:rRNA from 1 species